rnacentral:lncRNA from 1 species
AUGGACACCAGCCACGUGCAGCCUAUCAAGCUGGCCAGGGUCACCGAGGUCCUGGGCAGGACCGGCUCUCAGGGACACUGCACGCAGGUGCGCGUGGAAUUUAUGGACAACACGAGCCGCUCCAGCAUCCGCAGUGUAAAAGGCCCCGUGUGUGAGGGGGACGUGCUCACCCUGUUGGAGUCAGAGCAAGAGGCCUGGAAGUUGCGCUGA